GACGAACGCUGGCGGCGUGCGUAACACAUGCAAGUCGAACGAGAGAGUGAGAGAAGCUUGCUUUUCUUACAAUCGAGUGGCAAACGGGUGAGUAACGCGUAAACAACCUGCCCCGCAGAUGGGGACAACAGCUGGAAACGGCUGCUAAUACCGAAUACGGUCCUCUUAGCGCAUGGUAAGAGGAAGAAAGGGUGGCCUCUGGAACAAGCUACCGCUGCGGGAGGGGUUUGCGUCUGAUUAGCUGGUUGGAGGGGUAACGGCCCACCAAGGCGACGAUCAGUAGCCGGUCUGAGAGGAUGAACGGCCACAUUGGAACUGAGACACGGUCCAGACUCCUACGGGAGGCAGCAGUGGGGAAUCUUCCGCAAUGGGCGAAAGCCUGACGGAGCAACGCCGCGUGAGUGAAGACGGCCUUCGGGUUGUAAAACUCUGUUAUAGGGGACGAACGGCCGGGUAGCGAAG
rnacentral:rRNA from 1 species